rnacentral:lncRNA from 1 species
AUAUAUUCAAUUGAAAUACAUGUCAUGCCUCACGAAAUGCAAUAUGCAAAACCUGUAAUCAUGCAAGUAGGUUACUUUAACGCUACUUUUGCUCUUAACCAUUCUUUAUUCUUUGUCAUUUAACGCUUACUUUUAGCUCUUAGCUAUUCUUUACUUGUAACCUCUCUUUAGCUAUUCUUUAUCAUUUAGCUAUUCUUUACUCUUAACAUUCUUGAACCAUGCUAUAUCUUAGCCUUUGGCAUUCUACUCUAAGGUCACUUUAUCUUAGUCAACAAAGCCACCCGACUCGGUCUUGAGUCAAUCAAUCGCGGAUAGUCCGCGCACUGUCUAGCUCGAGGUGAAGGAACUCUCACAUGCACCUCAGCUGGCAACAGCUCACCGUACUCCUGUCCUAGCCGUCUGGCGGCGAACGGAUCGCACCUCACCCAACAACGGCCUAGGUCUAUGACUUAGUCACCCGGCGGCGAAAUCGUCGCACACACGCCACGACAGUGGUUCAGUCAACAGGCGGCAGGAUCCACAAACUGGCUAACCAUCCGGCGGCGAAAUCGUCGCACACGCCACGACAAUGGUUCUUUAGCCCUUGGGCGGCGAAAUCGUCGCACACACCCGACACCACUUUGGGUGUAUCAGCAAGCUUUGGGAUUAACCUUUGUGCCACACUGAGCACGUUCUUUAGCUUCGGGAUUCCGGAAUCCAUUUCACAUUAACCAAGGGUUGGUCCUAACCCUAGGGAACUGACCUCUCUAGGUCUAAGCCUUUACUCAACCUAUGUUACUACAUUAGGUUUAUUGCUUUCACAUUCUUAACCUAGGUUUAUCACACUAGGUUCAUUAUUCUUUCCAACCUAGUUUCACUUGACUCUAGGUUAAGCAGCUUUCAUUUCACAACCUAUGUUCUCUACAUUAGGUUUAACAUCAUUCUUAUUUAACCUAUGUUCUUUACAUUAGGUUCAAAUCACAUCUGUUUAACCUAUGUCCUCGACACUAGGUUCAAUGCUACUCGAUCUAUAGGUGCAUUUAAGUCCAUAUACACAAGUCCUUUACUUGGCAUUCUUUAACAUGCAACAUGCAUUCAUACAUUAUCUUUUGCAUUCUUACAUUAACCUUUCUAUGCAUGCAACAUGGCCACCACGUAUUAUAUACUUUAUGCUUGUCACUUAGCAUGAUUUACACUAUGUCACUAUGCAUUACUUAGCAUUCUUAACAUGUACUUGUAUUUACUAUUUCCAUAUCAUGCUUAUCAUUAUACUUUAGCAUUCUUAUCUCAUGCAUUCUACUUGGCGUUUGUAUCAUGUUAUCAACAUCAUGCUUUCUACUUAGCAUCUUGCUCUAAGCACUAUCGUUAACAUGCAUCAUUUAUAUUAUUUACCAACAUGCAUUUUAUAAUCUCUAUAUCAUUUACAUGCAUCAACUUAGCAUUUAUACUUUAUUUCGCAUGCUCUCUAGCAUUUAUCAACAUGCAUUUAUCAGCUUGCAUUCAUUAUCAUUCAUUUCUAUAUGCAUCAUAAGAAAUCAUAUUUUCUUAGACAUAAAGGCGACCUAGUCGCUUCGGUAAACCAACCCACCUCGAUUCGCGUUCCGAUUGCUUGUCGACACUUGCAAUCGGCCUCCCGCGGCACCCGUAUCCGGCACGGCCCGAUACUGCAACUGCGCCUCAACCGUGCUCCGCUUCGCAGCCCCGAAAAUUAUAGGUCUUCGGUUAUGUGCCACGAUGCCUCAAAUCCAUUUCCAUGAUUUUACGACGUCGCCUCGACCCUCCCGGCGGACCCGAAGCCUAAACGUCCAUUUCUUUAAUAACUUUGUAACGGCUCGUCGGAUUGCCGAACCGUCUUCGCCAACGCGUUUCGGUAUCUAGCAAUUAGGUUUACGAAGGGUCAAAUGAGAUCAAACCCUCAUAUUUUGAAAGUUUGCAUUUUGGAGCCCUAGGUUACAACUAUGCAAGAAAUCACUAAAUUGAUCCAUGAUUCAAGCAUUAAUCAUCUAGAUAGCAUGCUAGGACUCCUCUAAAUCCAUUUAUAAGGUGUUUAAACCAAGCAUUAAAGAUCUACCAUUAAUGGGCUCAAGAAGCUCACCUCAAAAUGAGCUCCAAACCAUGGAGAAGAUGAAGAAGACGAAGGCGAUCCACCUCCAAGCUUCAAUCUCCACCAAAUCUAUUCUUUUUUGGAGAGAUUUAGAGAGAGAAAGAGAGGGUUUUCUCUUCUCCUUCCAUGCAUGUGUGGGUGUGUGCGUGUGGUGUGUGCGGUUGGGGCAGCCACGGUUGGGAGGAGAAGAAGAAAAGGGGUUUUAAACCCUUUUUACCAUUUUGCCCCUCAACUACGCACUAUUCACUUCAGGCAGUUUAUUUUUCGCCGGAGCCCUUCUGAACGUCCGUUUGAACUCAAAUUUGACAGGCAUGCUCGGUUUUACUUAAUAAGUCCAAAUAAAUUUUAAUAUUUCAGUUUCGACCCCGUUUGGUCACUGAAAACUGUGCCGAACUGCAAUCUUUAUCAGAUAGCUUUCGGAUCCUAUUUCUCUCUCUACGGGUGUCAGAAAAAUAUGAAACUUUAAAUCUAGCCUCAUAAAAAUAUUUCUGACAUUCUCGCAAAUAAUCAUAAUUUUCUGAGACUGUACAUUUUUUGCUAAUUUAUCAGUCCCGUUUCCAACAGAAAAUUCUAAAUCUUCCGUUUUCAGUCCGAUUUCAGCACAAGUCAUUUCUGACUUAUGUUUUACUCCUCUAAAUCUAAUAAAAAUAGUAUCUCACACUAUUUUUAUUUAUUUUUAUUUUUAUAUUUAAAAUCCGGUAUGUUACAUUCCACCGCAACUUCACCGGAACCAUUUAAAUGUAUACCGUGACUUCAUGAUUUUAGAAGUUCGGUAUGUUACAACAGUAUAUGCCAAUUGGAGUUCUAAAGGCAGUAUGUUUUUCGUCCUCAGGCGCCAUCUUUAUCUGGUUAUAUCCAGAGGAACCGUCCAUGAAAGAGAACAUCUCAUAACUUGAAGUGUUGUCGAUCAUCAAUUCAGUGACUGGCAGUGGAAAAUCAUCCUUCGGGCAUGCUUUAUUCAGAUCUCGAAAGUCGACACAUACACGAAUUUGACCAUUUUUCUUCUUCACUGGGACUAUGCUCGCGAUCCAAUCAGCAUAUUUUUCUUCUCUGAUGAACCCUGCUUCAAUAAGCUUUUUAGUCUCAGUUAUGAUCUGUUCUUCUAAGUCAACUCUUGUCCUCCUUGGAGCUUGUUUAACUGGAGCCACAUCUGGACUAAUGGCAAGUUUAUGAACAGCCACACUUGGAUCUAAGCCAGGCAUUUCUUUAUACGUCCAAGCAAAGCAGUCUUUAUAUUCCAUCAAUAGUGCUUUCAACACAUCUUGAUCUUUUUCUGGAAGUAAUGCACUAAUAUAAGUGGGUCUUCGAUCCUCUUCAUUACCCAAAUUUAUUUCUAUAAGCUCAUCAACGGUGGCUUGCCCCCCGUCUUCAAGUUCUUGUGGAGCAUCUUUUAAUUCCAGAAGUUUUGCUUUCAGUGGCUCAAUAUCCUCAUCCUGCUCCAUAUCCUUUACCGUGAUCAUAGUGCAGGUAUGUCGUAUGACAUGUGAAUCAUUGUUGGUUAUCUUGGGCACAUGAGUAGAUUGAUGAUAUCCUAGCCCUCUCGUGUGUACCGUUCGGCCAUUUGGAAGCACGACUCUUUUUUGUGGUGGAUUCCACAUUUUCUGAAAAAAUUUUCGAUUAGCUCGUGACCUUUUCGCAGGAAUUCCCGAUCUAUUCAUCAUGUUUUUGAGAUUUUUCGAAAAGUGUGCUGGAAUGUUGACAUCUUCAUAUAUUUCCUCAUCAGAGUCAUCAAGCUUGAUAAGAUCAGAGGGUUUGUAAUCAUCUGACUUAUAGAAAAGGAUCCCUUUCUUUAUUUUUUCUUUUUCCCUGACUUUCUCAACUCGAGGAGGUACAAAGAAGGUUUUUAGAUCAUUCACUUUUGUUGGCUUGCUUAUAUGAAGAGAUUUUAUAUGUCCAUCUGGAACCCUAGUAAUAGCUAAGGAAUCCUCAAUCAAUUCAGGAGUUCUUAUGAACAUAUUUGACUCAGAUGUCGAGAACAUCUUUUCAUCUUCUGAUGAGUCUUCUCCCCAGGGCAUGUUCAACUUGAAAGAAAAUGUUUCCAAUAUUUUCCUUACUUGUUCUUCAUCAUCAGAAUCUUCUGAAUCACUUCCGAAAUGUGGAAUCACAUUUUUUUUAUUAUCCUCAAUUUUUAUCUUUCCCUUUGGCAAUUUUUUAUCGCUCUGAACUUUACUCUCUUCGAGUUCGCGAGACAACUUUAUAUCUUUUUCAGAUUCUGCGAAAUAUCUCGCAUCUUCAUAUCGUACCUCAUGCACUCCGAAUGGGCGUAUAUCACCAUCAACUCUGAAUUCUUCUCCAUCCUUAAUAUAUUUCAUACAUUGAUGAAGAGUAGAGAGAACAACAUUAUAUUCGUGCAGCCAAGGCCGCCCCAAUAACGCCUUAUACGAGGUGUCUGCAUUUAUCACAUAAAAUUUUGCUUCGGUCCGUAAUGCUCCAAAUUUUAUAGGAAGAAUGAUCGACCCGAGAGCUUUUUGGCUAUGUUGAUUAAAGCCUUGGAUCACGAUUUUCUCCGAGGACAGAUGAUCGACAUUCAGAGCUAAACUUUUCAAAGUUCUUAAAGUCAAGAUAUUGAUUGAGGAUCCAGGAUCGAUUAAAAUGCGAUUAAUCUUAUCUCCAUCACACGUCCCAGUCACAUAUAAAGGCCUAUUGUGGUGAGCAGUUCCCAGCAACAUGUCUUCAUCAGUGAAGAUAACAUUGGCGACAUGUCUAGCGUAUAACGCCUCUUUCAUAUUCACCUCGGCAAAAUGAGCAUAAAAGGGCUCGGGAUUUUGUAAAGCAUAAAUGAGUACGUCCCGAAGUUCUUUGGACAUCAUCAGAGCGUCAUAAACACUCAACAAAGCUGGCACUUUUCUUAAAUGGGAAAGUAUAUUAUAAUCAAUCUUUGAUAACUUUCCUUGAUUCGAUGAAGUUGGUGCCUCUUCGUUUAUCUGAAUUUCUUUAUCUUUACCAUUUUGAGGAUGUCCUUGUCUUUCUGGUAAUACUUUUUCGGAUUUCAGCGUGAUUUGCAAAGAAUCCUCAGCUUCUUUAUCUUGCUUAGUAUUAGAGUCAGUACCACAAGUAAUAGUUUGGCAUGUUUCGACUCUAGUCUUUUCAAGAGUAUUCAACUUGUUGAGGAUCUCUUUCAAUUGUUCCUUCAUGCUUUUUACCGCCAUGGCCACACAAUCUAUGUUUGUUGCUAGAGAGCGUACAUCAAUCUGCACUCUCCUCAAAUCAUUGUCAAUCUCAAGAAGACGAUAUUCCAUUCUCCUUGCACCAUAAUCCCUACUCGGGGUAUUGUAUGCUAGCCACGCGGUAUCAUCGUCUUCACGUGCAUCAGCAGAUUGCCUGACCCUAUUCUCUUGAUUUACAGAGUCAUUAGAUUGCUCUUCAGAGAUUGUUAUUACUCGACACGACUCUUUGAGCUGUGAUUUGUUUUUUCUAUGAUCUCGAAGUUUCACGCAUACAUCAUAAGCAUGACCUCUCGCUCCACACCAACAACAACACGGUUUCAUAUCAUCGAAAGCAUCAUAACAUGCUUUUCUGAAUUCUUCCAGAGUAAUGGGUUGUUGUUUCUCAAAUCGUGGUAGAUGUCUCUUCCAUCGUUGACUUUUGGACCCGGCAAUCGUCGGUUGAUCGACCUUUAGCUUCGCCUUGUCAACAGUUAGAUUCUGCAUCUUUUUCCAUUGGCGACAAUUUUCUAGGGUGUGCCCCCAUAUAUUGUGAUAGGAACAGAAUUCUGUCGACAUAACUUUCUUUUUCCCUUCCUUACUUAGAGGUUCAUUAUUCUGGCGAGCCUCUAACUGCUGGCUUAGAAUUGGUUUCUUCUUCUUUUUCAGCG